GGGCUCGUGGGGUAGGUGGAGAUCCUAAGGGGCUUCGGACCCCUUGACCCGGGUUCAACUCCCGGCGAGCCCG
rnacentral:tRNA from 1 species